UUUUGUGAAUUAACUGUGCAUAAUUUAUGGAUUAUUCUUAUAAUCAUGAGAUAUAUGUUUUCUUAUUGAUAUUUGAUUGAGAUUAUCUGAAUUUUUUGGGGUAAACCCUAGAAAAACGCAAAACCUGUUUUUGACCGAAUAGCCGGAAUUUUCGGAGGUCAGCGAACUUGACGGACUCCGAUUGAGCUGAAAUUUGGUGGGUCCAUCGGAAAUGCCGUGGUGAGAAAAACUCACUGCUUUAGCAGUGAAUCAUGGUAUUUUUCGGCGUUUUGAGGUCGUUUGGACUGUGUUUUGGACGGUUUUCUAUUUUCUGGAAAUUAUUUCUUAAUAAUUUUAAUUCUUUUUUAAUUCAAUGGUGUUGGGGAUGACUCCCCAUGGUCCCCAUGAUUAAAUACUAGUCAUAUAAUAGGUUUACACAUUGACUAUUAGCAAAUAAACGUGUUGUUGUAUUAAA